AGUGAACGCUGGCGGUAGGCCUAACACAUGCAAGUCGAACGGCAGCACAGUAAGAGCUUGCUCUUACGGGUGGCGAGUGGCGGACGGGUGAGGAAUACAUCGGAAUCUACUUUUUCGUGGGGGAUAACGUAGGGAAACUUACGCUAAUACCGCAUACGACCUACGGGUGAAAGCAGGGGAUCUUCGGACCUUGCGCGAUUGAAUGAGCCGAUGUCGGAUUAGCUAGUUGGCGGGGUAAAGGCCCACCAAGGCGACGAUCCGUAGCUGGUCUGAGAGGAUGAUCAGCCACACUGGAACUGAGACACGGUCCAGACUCCUACGGGAGGCAGCAGUGGGGAAUAUUGGACAAUGGGCGCAAGCCUGAUCCAGCCAUACCGCGUGGGUGAAGAAGGCCUUCGGGUUGUAAAGCCCUUUUGUUGGGAAUGAAAAGCAGCAGGUUAAUACCCCGCUGUUCUGACGGUACCCAAAGAAUAAGUACCGGCUAACUUCGUG
rnacentral:rRNA from 1 species